CUUUAGAAGUUCCAUGUCUUCCUUGCAUUCAAUAGUAUUUAAUUUAAGCAUAUGGAAUGUAAAGAAGUAUGGAGCGAUAUUUG
rnacentral:pre_miRNA from 2 species